GGUUCCAUAGUGUAGCAGUUAACGCAUCUGCUUUACAUGCAGAAGGACCUGGGUUUGCGCCCUAGUGGAGCUA
rnacentral:tRNA from 1 species